rnacentral:hammerhead_ribozyme from 1 species
AUCCAGCUGACGAGUCCCGAAUAAGACGAAACGCGCAUCCUUGAU